UGGGACAUCUUCAAGCCAUAUAGAACCUACUAAUGGGGCAGCACCUCCAUCACAACCAAGCCAUGGAGCAUAUGCAAGCCAGCAUAGUCAAAAAAUACCUGUUAGGAAAAGAAAUGUCACAACACAAAGUCAGCCAACACCCCAAUGUGAAGGAGUCCAUCAAAGUCAACCAGUAUCUCAGGUUGGACCCAACGAAGUUACCAGAAGUUACAGUUUUGGAGUAUCAGUAGAGACAAUGGC